rnacentral:rRNA from 1 species
UGCCAGCCGCCGCGGUAAUACGUAUGGUCCUAGCGUUGUCCGGAAUAACUGGGCGUAAAGGGUGUGUAGGCUGAUAUACGUGUCAGGUGUGAAAUCCCAGGGCUCAACCCUGGAACUGCCUCCAAAACUCCCAGUCUUGAGUUCGAGAGAGGUGAGUGGAACUCCGAGUGUAGAGGUGAAAUUCGUAGAUAUUCGGAAGAACACCAGUGGCGAAGGCGGCUCACUGGCUCGAUACUGACGCUGAGGUGCGAAAGUGUGGGGAGCAAACAGGAUUAGAUA